AGUCGAACGAACACUUUUACAGAUUUCUUCGGAAUGAAGUUUUAGUCACUGAGUGGCGGACGGGUGAGUAACGCGUGGGUAACCUGCCUCACACAGGGGGAUAACAGUUGGAAACGGCUGCUAAUACCGCAUAAGCGCACAGUACCGCAUGGUACGGUGUGAAAAACUCCGGUGGUGUGAGAUGGACCCGCGUCUGAUUAGCUAGUUGGCAGGGCAACGGCCUACCAAGGCGACGAUCAGUAGCCGACCUGAGAGGGUGACCGGCCACAUUGGGACUGAGACACGGCCCAAACUCCUACGGGAGGCAGCAGUGGGGAAUAUUGCACAAUGGGGGAAACCCGGAUGCAGCGACGCCGCGUGAGCGAAGAAGUAUUUCGGUAUGUAAAGCUCUAUCAGCAGGGAAGAAGAAAUGACGGUACCUGACUAAGAAGCACCGGCUAAAUACGUGCCAGCAGCCGCGGUAAUACGUAUGGUGCAAGCGUUAUCCGGAUUUACUGGGUGUAAAGGGAGCGCAGGCGGAAGGCUAAGUCUGAUGUGAAAGCCCGGGGCUCAACCCCGGUACUGCAUUGGAAACUGGUCAUCUAGAGUGUCGGAGGGGUAAGUGGAAUUCCUAGUGUAGCGGUGAAAUGCGUAGAUAUUAGGAGGAACACCAGUGGCGAAGGCGGCUUACUGGACGAUAACUGACGCUGAGGCUCGAAAGCGUGGGGAGCAAACAGGAUUAGAUACCCUGGUAGUC
rnacentral:rRNA from 1 species